rnacentral:ncRNA from 1 species
CAUGAAUGCACGGGGAACCUCACCCGGGCCGGACACGGAAAGGAUUGACAGAUUGACGGCUCUUUCUCGAUUCUGUGGGUGGUGGUGCAUGGCCGUUUGUAGUUGGUGGAGCGAUUUGUCUGGUUGAUUCCGAUAACGAACGAGACUCUGGCAUGCUAACUAGUUACGCGGCCCCGCGCGGUCUGCGUCUGCAACUUCUUAGAGGGACAAGUGGCAUUCAGCCACGCGAGACCGAUUGUUAUUGAGUAAUUGUAAUUGUGAUUAUUGAAG